UAAUACCGGAUAGGCCCUUGACGGGGAAAAGAUUUAUAGCCGAAAGAUCGGCCCGCGUCUGAUUAGCUUGUUGGUGAGGUAACGGCUCACCAAGGCGACGAUCAGUAGCUGGUCUGAGAGGAUGAUCAGCCACAUUGGGACUGAGACACGGCCCAAACUCCUACGGGAGGCAGCAGUGGGGAAUAUUGGACAAUGGGCGCAAGCCUGAUCCAGCCAUGCCGCGUGAGUGAUGAAGGCCCUAGGGUUGUAAAGCUCUUUUGUGCGGGAAGAUAAUGACUGUACCGCAAGAAUAAGCCCCGGCUAACUUCGUGCCAGCAGCCGCGGUAAUACAAAGGGGGCUAGCGUUGCUCGGAAUCACUGGGCGUAAAGGGUGCGUAGGUGGAUUUUUAAGUCAGGGGUGAAAUCCUGGAGCUCAACUCCAGAACUGCCUUUGAUACUGGGAAUCUUGAGUUCGGGAGAGGUGAGUGGAACUGCGAGUGUAGAGGUGAAAUCCGUAGAUAUUCGCAAGAACACCAGUGGGCGAAGGCGGCUCACUGG
rnacentral:rRNA from 1 species